rnacentral:rRNA from 1 species
CCCUUAGAUGUUCUGGGCCGCACGCGCGCUACACUGAUGCAUUCAACGAGUCUAAAACCUGCUCUGAUAGGGGUGGGUAAUCUUUUGAAUGUGCAUCGUGAUUGGGAUAGAUGAUUGCAAUUUUUCAUCUUCAACGAGGAAUGCCUAGUAAACGCAAGUCGUCAGCUUGCAUUGAUUACGUCCCUGCCCUUUGUACACACCGCCCGUCGCUCCUACCGAUUGAAUGAUCCGAUGAAUAUCAUGGAUUGAGGAUUAUAGCAGGUUCGCCUGUCUUGAUCUUCGAGAAGUGAAGUAAAUCUUAUCAUUUAGAGGAAGGAGAAGUCGUAACA